rnacentral:rRNA from 1 species
GUCUACAGUCCCACCAUACUGAAUGCACCUGACCUCAUCUAAUCUCAGAAGAUAAGCAUGGCUGAGCCUCAUUUGUACUUAGAUGGGAGACCACCUAGGAAUAUCAGCUUUUCCUUUAGAGG